AGUGCCCAGAAGCUCUACUCUCUGGAGCUGCUCAGCCCCUGAAGCAUUGUUGGGUGUCACAGGGGAGUGGUAUUGGUCCCUGCAGGGAGGAAAGAGCUGUUUCUUGCUUCCUGGCUGCUAUGCCUACCUC